rnacentral:rRNA from 1 species
GCAGGCUGCAACUCGCCUGCAUGAAGUCGGAAUUGCUAGUAAUCGUAGGUCAGCAUACUACGGUGAAUACGUUCCCGGGCCUUGUACACACCGCCCGUCACACCAUGAGAGUCGGGAACACCCGAAGUCCGUAGCCUAACUUUAACGAGGGGGCGCGGCCGAAGGUGGGUUCGAUAAUUGGGGUGAAGUCGUAACAAGGUACC